rnacentral:rRNA from 1 species
UACGUAGGGGGCGAGCGUUGUCCGGAGUUACUGGGCGUAAAGAGCGUGUAGGCGGUUGGAAAAGUCAGAUGUGAAAUUCUCCGGCUCAACCGGGGAACUGCGUCUGAAACUUUCCGACUGGAGUUUGGGAGGGGCAACUGGAAUUCCUGGUGUAACGGUGAAAUGUGUAGAUAUCAGGAGGAACACCCGUGGCGAAGGCGGGUUGCUGGACCAAAACUGACGCUGAGACGCGAAAGCGUGGGUAGCAAACAGGAUUAGAUACCCUGGUAGUCCACGCUGUAAACGAUGAGUGCUAGGUGUAGGGGGUAUCGACUCCUUCUGUGCCGCAGUUAACGCAUUAAGCACUCCGCCUGGGGAGUACGGCCGCAAGGUUAAA